CCCACAUGAAAUGAUCCCUUUAUAGGGAACCCGAUAUGUCUCAAUCUGCACUGCACUCAUAGACCUGUGUAUGGGGCACUAGUUUAAAAUACAUAAUGCAUUAAUAAAAUCGAAAGUAUUUGUGCUGUUUUGGACUGCAGCAGUCUCUGAGUACAGUUUCGGCAAUAUUACACCAAUGUUAAGAAUUCAACAAAUACUAAGUGAAGGCAACGCCCAGAGUGGAGAUCACAAAAAGUCACUAUGAAAGGACUUUAAUCACAAGAUAUGAAGAAGAGAAGAAAGACGUAUCCAUGUCAGAGGAAUGGAACAUAUACUGCCCAUUUGUUCUUAAUCUGUGAAAAUGACAUGUUCUGAAGACAUGGGAACUGAACAGAUAAAGCCACCACCAAUGCUAUGUCACAACAAAAUGGAGCUUACCUCACUGUUACCACUGGGUCUCUACAGAGACUGAGCCAACGGGAACUGCUAGGAGCACUAGUGGAAGACUUGGGAGUAGCAAAUGUAUUAUCCCUCAAGGUAUACUGCAUGAAAAAUGAAGAAGAAAUAAACAAACAGGAAAAAUAAACCACCCUAAAGCCUACUAUAAACAGAAAAAGGGUUUGUUCACUAGGGAAGACACAGACACACAUUUUCAGUACCGCUUACAAGCCUUGUUGAAUACUGCUGCAUCAGAAAAGACAAUCAGAUAAAUAUACAUAUCUGGUCAAAUUCAUGUAAAUGGGACAAAAGUACACAAGAAAUGACCUUCCUAGGUAAUGCAGAACUAAGAUAUUUAAAAAACAUAAAAAGUAUUAACAAAGUAUAUUAAUUUCCUUUCAACUUGAGGUAAAGUAUAAAUAGUUCUUUCUUAACCAAAUAAAUUCAAUACAGAACUUAAUUAUUCUCUCAUACAAGAGAUACAAGUUAAGGUCUCUUUAUAUUCCUGUACUCAGUCUUGCCUAGAUAGGGCCCAGCCACAUUAUCCAACCCCAAAUCGGAUAAGCAAAUUUGAGGCUGUUAGUGUACUUAGUAAAUAAUUUUUACAUGUUCCACUUACAUACCACUUUUUAUGACUACAAAAAAAAUCAAAAAUGUGACAUAAGGUUUCUGAAUUCAGCACAAGCAGGGAUGGGCAAUUCACAAGAAUGUGCACUACUAAGAUCACUAGCCCAUCAAAAGAACAUACAAUCUCUGCCACAGAUUCUGAUGGAAAAUGAAUCAUUACGGUAUCAUGUCAAUCUUUGUUCACACCUAAACAUGAGGCUCAAGUGCUUUGAGACGACAAAGUGCUGCAAAAAUAAAAAACAAAAAAAAAGAAGAAAUCAAUUGUAAUUUUUAAUAACCUCUGGCAUUUUCAUAAGGCUUGAAGUUAAAAGUAAUUAAAGUGGUAUCACAUGAGAUUUUAAAAUUGUCUUUUGUAUCCACAUUAUGGGUUCUGUUUCACUGAUACAGUUUAUUAUUUUCCACUCUGACUACUGACCCUACAUUACUUGUCUCCAUAUGCACUACAAAGAUUCCUUAUUCUCAUUUCUUACUGACAUGUUUUGAAUUGAACUUCCUCUGUGAUCAAUGUAUUCUGAAGACCAACAUUGCCCACAACUCCUUUGGACUACUUAAGCAACUUGCUUUUUAACCCAAUCUUGUCUUCUUUCAAUUUACUUUGGUCUUGUUAAUUUGAUAAAAUAGGUAAAGACAAUUUCCUCAUUGUCAAAAUAAAAUGAACCAUACAAACAAAACACUUUGGCUGUUGAACCUUCCCCCAAUAUUUGCAGUAACUGUAGUACUAUAUUUUUCACAAUCUAGUAUUUUGCCCAUUCAUACAUCCAAUUUCAAACCUUGGUAGUUAGAGGGUCAUGAAGGACUAUAGCUUAACCCUGCAACACUGGGUAUAAGGUAGGAAGCAACUUUAUUACAGGGUAGGAUUCAUUCAGACACACACACCCUGUAUCGUAUCAUGCCAGUUUAUCAGAGUUUACUUAACCUAACAAUCAUGUUAUGAUCAGAGAAAAGAAGCACCACAGAAAAUUCAAUGCAGGGAGCUUGUGUCAUGGGUUUGAAUCCCGAGCCUAAUUGUUGACCAUGUUUUCUGAUAUAUGUGUGGUUUUUCACUAGGGACUCCGUGGACAGCAGAGAGAUUCUCAAUAUAAAGCCAGUGAUGUGCAUCAUGGUUCCCCUGGGCUAUACAAACACUAAAAAAGUGGUACUCUACAUUCAAAUGUUGCCUUGGUAGCCCAGUCUUCUUUAAAAUGGAUUUGUAAAGUUUAUUCUUCUUUAUUGCUAUGGCAUCAAACUAUAAAUGCAAGUUGCAUUUUCAUUGUAUUCUAUAUACUGUAUGUGACAAAACUGACACUAUUUCUACUACUACAUCUCUAAAGAGGUGCAUGUUAGGUUAACCAGUUUUUUCCAGAUUUGUCCUGUAUGUAGUAUGUAGUUUGAGUGUGUGCGUGAGUGGGUCCUGUGAUGGACUGGUGCCCUAUCUAAGGAUGUUUACUGUGUGGCUAUGUGCUGUCGGGAUUGACACCAGCCCCCUACCUUUAUUAACAAAUAAUAGCAAUAAUAGUAACAAUGAUAAAAAAUAACAAUAACACUGGUAAUUGAUGACAAGUACAGUAGUGUUGAUUGGAAAUUUUCUGUGUGCCUGGCUUAGUCAAACUUUUGAAUUGAAACUUUUGAUUGAAUACUUUUGCACACUAUUAUAUAAUGUUGGUCCUUGUGAAUACUUUUAAACACAAAAUUUGCACAUAUAUGGAAACUAGAAAUGUGUUGGUGUAUUUGGAUUUUAAAGACAAAAGUCGUUUUGUAUGGAUUUGAAUGUGACCUGUGUAUAAUAAAUACAUAGCCUGCCCUUUUUAUAGUAUUGUCCAGAGUGAUAUACAGUUGAAGCAAACAGGAAGGAGUGAAGAAUCCAUAUGCUUUUUAUAGCACCGAUUUGUUAGCAGUGGUAGUGAAUAAGCAAAAGCGUCAGGGAAAGAAAAAAAAAAACAGUAGUUUUCGGUUUGACAGAAGUGAGUGCCUGCUAUCGAGUCUGUGAGGUGUAACCAUUAGUGAAUUUAUACAUUCUGUCUGCCAGAAAUAUUAUUGGUUUGAUAUUUAAUUCUAUUAAUUUCAUCUCAGAGAGACACUGAGGCACAGUGGUUAACACUGUUACCUCUCAAGCCAGGUCACAUCUUUUGCCACAAUAAUUGGUCCAGCACAGUUUUGCAGACAUUUCAGAAGCAGUCAGGGACAAGUAAAAGACCACUGCACCAAUAUAAUCCAUUCAAAAUUACUUUACAUUCUCCUUUUUUCAUUGACAUCAAUGCAUUCUGCUGAGUUCAGCAAAGUUCUCAGACAUUUCCACAAUUUUUCUAAACUUGAGGCCAAGCUAUGCAGCAGAGCUCGCUCAUCACUAGUGACAAGGACAAAUUCUUUAGACACAAGCCUGACAAAAAUUUGGUAAGGUAAGUACUUUCCAAAUUGGUUGCAAUGAUUGCUUCCAAAAAUGUGCCUUUUAAUAAAAUUUGCAGACAAAGGUAAAAAAUCUCCAUAUCUACAGUGCAUCCAGAAAGUAUUCACAGGGCAUCACUUUUUCCACAUUUUGUUAUGUUAC